rnacentral:tRNA from 2 species
GGCGUCAUAGCUCAGUUGGUAGAGCAAAGGACUGAAAAUCCUUGUGUCCCCGGUUCGAUUCCUGGUGACGCCA